UGGGGAAUAUUGGACAAUGGGCGCAAGCCUGAUCCGGCCAUGCCGCGUGAGUGAAGAAGGCCUUAGGGUUGUAAAACUCUUUCACCCGUGAAGAUGAUGACGGUAGCGGGAGAAGAAGCCCCGGCUAACUCCGUGCCAGCAGCCGCGGUAAUACGGAGGGGGCAAGCGUUGUUCGGAAUUACUGGGCGUAAAGGGCGCGUAGGCGGGUGAUCAAGUCAGGGGUGAAAGGCCUGGGCUCAACCUUGGAUCUGCCUUUGAAACUGGUCAUCUUGAGUCCGGGAGAGGAUGGCGGAAUUCCCAGUGUAGAGGUGAAAUUCGUAGAUAUUGGGAAGAACACCGGUGGCGAAGGCGGCCAUCUGGACCGGCACUGACGCUGAGGCGCGAAAGCGUGGGGAGCAAACAGGAUUAGAUACCCCCGUAGUCC
rnacentral:rRNA from 1 species